ensembl:lncRNA
UGGCUAAGCCGCACCGCCAACUCUGUGCCGUUGAAAGAAGCUAUUAGUCCGCGCAAAAUAAAUUGGAUCUUGUCGCUAUGUACCAGCAUAUGAUUUUCCAUCAGUUAAGUUCGGCGUUGCCUGGAAAUAUGAUGGAAAGGCCUUAGCGCUCUACCCGGGCAAAAGGACAGCGGGGGAAUGAAGGAGAAAGCUCCGAUAUGCCUACUGCUGUUAGUAAUAUCGAAAAUUUUCAACCACACAAAGUGCAAUGGAAGAAAAGGUCGGAAGAGCUGCAGUCCCGAAUCAAUGAGCUGGAGGAGGAGAAUGCUUUGCUCAAGCAGCAGCUUGAGCAAAGGCCUUCAGCAAAUCAAGGUGAGAAAAUGGACAACACUGCCACCGACCCAGAGUCAGACACUGACUCGAGUUCCAACUCCAGCACUGACUCCACCGAUUCCAGGAGCAGUGAUACAAGCUCUUCCUCCUCUGAUGGCCGCAAGAAAAAGAGGAGGCACAAAAAGAAGAGCAAAAAGGCUUCAAAGAACAAAGGACUUCGAGUGACAACAAUAUCGGAUGUUGUUAAAAGGUACCGCUGGGUCCUUAAACUAAUUCAAAAAGGACGCAAGAUGUCGAGGGCAUUCCUGAAGGCACGUGUUUCUAGAAAUGCAGUUAAAGACACCGCAGCAAUCGCGGAGCUCUACAUUGCAGAGAGGAGUGUCCUGGAUGGAAUCAAAGGCGAACAGAGGCUCCUUCAUUUAGCAAAGCUCUGCCAGUCCAAAAUUGUUGGAGAACUUGCCCUUAAAAUUGAAGAGCUGAAGAGGAAAAAAAAACUCAUACCAUUCUCCAAAAAGGGUUAAAGGGACAGGGGUGAAAGGAGAGAGUUUUUUUUAAUUAAACGAUAAAUCCUGUGUAAAAUGGAUCUGGGAUAUGUUUAAUAUGAUAAUGAGAUGGGAUGUUCGUUUGGGAGCAAAAAACCACAUGCAGACGCAUUCUUAAGUUGGCUGUUUUUAGCCGAUUCUACCAAAAC